GAAAGCUUCAGACGAAGUUUCCAGAAAUGAAGAAAAUUGGCAUGUGUGCGUGCGCGGGACAUGCACGCAAGCAAAUUGGUAGAAUAUGAUAAAGAAUUCAACAAAGACUCCAUAAAUGAAGCAGUUGUCGAUUUAUCGUAGCAUUCAUGAAGAUGCAGAGUAAUCAAAUAACGUAAUUGGGGGGCAAAUAAAAGACCCUGUAACUGAAAUGAACUCUCAUGACCUCAAAGACCAGACAAAUCAUUCACCUUCAUUCCUUUUGGCACUUGAGAUUGUAAGACAUUCAUACAAACUGCUCACUAAACCAGAGUCAGGAACUGAUUAUCUUGUUGAACAUGGUUUGAAUGGAAAUAAUCCCCAACAAAACAAACAUUUCCCUUUUACCCUUUGAUAACCAGACCUGACUUGGCAGAAAAAUAGGGCUCCCCAGGCCACAUCUGUGAUGAUUUUGAUAAUGAUAAAAAUAAAAUUAUCCAAGUGAGUAGACAAUUCGCUUGGACAUCUCUGCACCUACAACCCUCUUAUAUCUGAGUAACUGAGAUUCCAAGUAACUCCUUUCACUGGCGCCAAAAAGCUCGUUGUAGAUCCUAUUAUUGCGAGACAUAGUAACAGGUGUAAUAAUUAAUGAACAUCCAUGCUAACCAACUACUGAUGACAAAUGCAAUCAAGGUUGAACAAGAAGCAAUAUGCAUCAUACAAGCUAUAUAUCUAUUAGUAUCAACGGUUUCCUUACGAGAAACACAGAUUUACAACUUCUUUAGUAGUGGAGAUCAUAUUUCUGUUACCAAAGCAUCCUAUAAUUAUUUGACCAGUGAUUGGAGUGGCAAUUGUACAGAAAGAAGACCACAUAUAGAACCGAGACUUAAAAUGUGUGAGAGAAAAAGAUAAAAUAGUGUUAACAUACCUUAUAUCUCACACGGGAUCCUUUAAACCAAUUAAAAUAUCACCAACAUCACAAUUUUCCAAUGUCUGACCACUUGUUUCUGGACCUGAUUCAUCAUCAGAACUUUCAGAUUCAGGUUCAAUCAUUUCUUCACUGUCAUCUAUAAGAACAUCAUUUGUGUCUUCAUCACCAUUGUCAUUUUGUUGCACUUCAAUGGCAUUUUCAGCUGUUUGAGGGGGUAAAGACUCUCCAUCUUGUAGAAGUGCAUGAUCUGACAAGACAACGUACGGCUUUCUAUCAAGUAAAGGCCUUGCAAUAUUAAAUGGAACCCACUGGUAACGGAGAGGACAGAGAAGCUCAGAUGGGCGAUAUGCUGCUUUAUAUCUCAUCUUGCUGCAGGAAUGAAUAUAAUAGCCAAGAUAAUAAUACUGAAGACUAGGGCAAUGGACUUGAUUCUCCUUCACCCAACCUACUUCCUGCAAUGCUGAAUACUUGCCCAGUGAUAGGAAGGCAAAAUCAGGAUCCCAGAAUAGAUAUUUACUAGACAAACAUUUUGGAAGAAUAUCAAUCACACCAACAGCAAUAAGCUUGCCAUCAACAACAUAUUGCUGAUGAAAGGAGCCAAAUCCACAAGGAGGAACUCUUCCAUCACCAGAAGGUGGGACAGAAACUAAGGGCGUAUCAACCAGAAACAUCCUGUAUGAGCUUUCAGUAACAUGAUCUGGUGUAUCAUUAUGCACUGUCAUCUGAUAUCUUCUAUACAAUGCAAAUUCUUCUGGAUCAAAACUGGAUCUUUUCAAACGGAUCUCUAACUUCCGCCUUUUCCCUUGAGGAUGUUUGGCACUCCUCCUCAUACAGCAGGCUUUUCUUUUACAACCUGCAGCAGAUUCUUUUGAGCCAAUAACAAUUUGAGCACCUUCACUGGAAGAAGCUUGUGUUGUAGAUGUAUAAAAAUUAAUGUGUCCAUUGCAAGCCUUGACGGACAACCCACUAGUUUCUGACAACUGAUUUAAAGCAGCAGCCAACUUUUCUGCAAUAACUUUAGGAGACACAGUGUCAUUUUCUGCAUCAUGCCUCAUGACCCUUUCAGCUGCUUGCACCCGCCUUAUAGUGGCUACUAUUUGAAAUGCAAUAUUGCUGGAGUACAUGAGCUCUUCUGCUCCAACUAGCAGCUUUCUUUUGGCUUGUGAAACCUGUUUGACAGAAGCGUUUGGUAAUUGUAUAUUGCAAGGAAACUCUCCACUUUCUGCACAAGAAUGGAUUGCCUUGUCAACUUGAUCCGACAGAUAAUUAACAAUAUGUUCUGCCCUAUUCUUCUCCUCAUUUUUAGCGGACAAAGAUUCCUUUGUUCCUGAGCUUGAAACUUCAUGACAUGCACAACUGCAUUUACCUUUGGAGAUAUCUGCAUCAUCUACAACCUCCACUGCUUUUUUGACAUCCAGUGUGCCAUCUAAAAGCCUUUGCAUUCUUCUAAGGACUCGAAGUUGCUCCUUUGAAGGGACAAAAUCACUUGCCCUCAGUCGAAUAGUAUAAGAUGGGCAGCAAGUCUUUUCCAUUUCAGGUUUAUAGAGGAAACAGCCAGAUCUUCUCCAUCCUCGGUCAAGAAGAUCUUGAUAGUCAUCAACCGUAAUGCUGCGUGCCCACAAUCCAUGAGAGAUACUGGUGCGGCCAGCGGAUUUGCAAUAACCGCAGGAGCUCCGGCAGCGACCCCAAUCAACCACGACGGUUUCUCCCCUGCUAUUGCUGCUUUUGCUAGUACUAGCUUCGCUUCUUCUCAUCUUUCCAGCCAUUUCCCUAUCUCUCUCUCUCUCUUCCUAUGCUUGGAAUUCUCGUUGAUCACCACCUAACUCUUUUUCACGGUUUACCGUAUUAAAACGCCACCGUUCCCCCUUGUCCCAUUCCCCUUUGAGUUUUUAUAGAAAUGAAU
rnacentral:misc_RNA from 1 species